ACCCGAUGGUAUCUUAAGCACGCAUGAGAUUAAGAUUAAAGAUUUAUCGGUAAGCGAUGGGGAUGCGUUCCAUUAGGCAGUUGGCGGGGUAACGGCCCACCAAACCGACGAUGGAUAGGGGUUCUGAGAGGAAGGUCCCCCACAUUGGAACUGAGACACGGUCCAAACUCCUACGGGAGGCAGCAGUGAGGAAUAUUGGUCAAUGGGCGAGAGCCUGAACCAGCCAAGUAGCGUGAAGGAUGACUGCCCUAUGGGUUGUAAACUUCUUUUAUAAAGGAAUAAAGUCGGGUAUGCAUACCCGUUUGCAUGUACUUUAUGAAUAAGGAUCGGCUAACUCCGUGCCAGCAGCCGCGGUAAUACGGAGGAUCCGAGCGUUAUCCGGAUUUAUUGGGUUUAAAGGGAGCGUAGAUGGAUGUUUAAGUCAGUUGUGAAAGUUUGCGGCUCAACCGUAAAAUUGCAGUUGAUACUGGAUAUCUUGAGUGCAGUUGAGGCAGGCGGAAUUCGUGGUGUAGCGGUGAAAUGCUUAGAUAUCACGAAGAACUCCGAUUGCGAAGGCAGCUUGCUGGACUGUAACUGACGCUGAUGCUCGAAAGUGUGGGUAUCAAACAGGAUUAGAUACCCUGGUAGUCCACACAGUAAACGAUGAAUACUCGCUGUUUGCGAUAUACAGUAAGCGGCCAAGCGAAAGCGUUAAGUAUUCCACCUGGGGAGUACGCCGGCAACGGUGAAACUCAAAGGAAUUGACGGGGGCCCGCACAAGCGGAGGAACAUGUGGUUUAAUUCGAUGAUACGCGAGGAACCUUACCCGGGCUUGAAAGUUAGUGACGAUUCUGGAAACAGGAUUUCCCUUCGGGGCACGAAACUAGGUGCUGCAUGGUUGUCGUCAGCUCGUGCCGUGAGGUGUCGGGUUAAGUCCCAUAACGAGCGCAACCCCUACCGUUAGUUGCCAUCAGGUCAAGCUGGGCACUCUGGCGGGACUGCCGGUGUAAGCCGAGAGGAAGGUGGGGAUGACGUCAAAUCAGCACGGCCCUUACGUCCGGGGCUACACACGUGUUACAAUGGUAGGUACAGAGGGCAGCUACCCUGCGAAGGGAUGCGAAUCUCGAAAGCCUAUCUCAGUUCGGAUUGGAGGCUGAAACCCGCCUCCAUGAAGUUGGAUUCGCUAGUAAUCGCGCAUCAGCCAUGGCGCGGUGAAUACGUUCCCGGGCCUUGUACACACCGCCCGUCAAGCCAUGAAAGCCGGGGG
rnacentral:rRNA from 1 species